GACGGAGGAUGCAAGUGUUAUCCGGAAUCACUGGGCGUAAAGCGUCUGUAGGUGGUCAAAUAAGUCAACUGUUAAAUCUUGAGGCUCAACCUCAAAAUCGCAGUCGAAACUAUUCGACUAGAGUAUAGUAGGGGUAAAGGGAAUUUCCAGUGGAGCGGUGAAAUGCGUAGAGAUUGGAAAGAACACCGAUGGCGAAGGCACUUUACUGGGCUAUUACUAACACUGAGAGACGAAAGCUAGGGUAGCAAAUGGG
rnacentral:rRNA from 1 species